rnacentral:rRNA from 1 species
AUUGAACGCUGGCGGCAGGCCUAACACAUGCAAGUCGAGCGAGCGGCGGACGGGUGAGUAAUGUCUGGGAAACUGCCUGAAGGAGGGGGAUAACUACUGGAAACGGUAGCUAAUACCGCAUACCAUCAGAUGUGUCCAGAUGGGAUUAGCUAGUAGGUGGGGUAAUGGCUCACCUAGGCGACGAUCCCUAGCUGGUCUGAGAGGAUGACCAGCCACACUGGAACGGAGACACGGUCCAGACUCCUACGGGAGGCAGCAGUGGGGAAUAUUGGACAAUGGGCGCAAGCCUGAGGCAGCCAUGCCGCGUGUAUGAAGAAGGCCUUCGGGUUGUAAAGUACUUUCAGCGAGGAGGCGUUACUCGCAGAAGAAGCACCGGCUAACUCCGUGCCAGCCGCCGCGGUAAUUC